AAUGGGCGCAAGCCUGACGGAGCGAUGCCGCGUGCGGGAUGAAGGCCUUCGGGUUGUAAACCGCUGUCAGUGAGGUGGAAAUGUUGACCUAAUCGCAGAGGAAGUCCGGGCUAAGUUCGUGCCAGCAGCCGCGGUAACACGAACCGGACAAACGUUAUUCGGAAUCACUGGGCUUAAAGAGUACGUAGGCGGCUAUACAAGUUGGGUGUGAAAUCCCACGGCUCAACCGUGGAACUGCGCUCAAAACUGUAUAGCUAGAGGGAGACAGGGGUGAGCGGAACUGAUGGUGGAGCGGUGAAAUGCGUUGAUAUCAUCAGGAACACUGGUGGCGAAGGCGGCUCACUGGGUCUCUUCUGACGCUGAGGUACGAAAGCUAGGGUAGCGAACGGGAUU
rnacentral:rRNA from 1 species